rnacentral:rRNA from 1 species
GACGAACGCUGGCGGCGUGCUUAACACAUGCAAGUCGAACGGAAAGGCCCUGCUUUUGUGGGGUGCUCGAGUGGCGAACGGGUGAGUAACACGUGAGUAACCUGCCCUUGACUUUGGGAUAACUUCAGGAAACUGGGGCUAAUACCGGAUAGGAGCUCCUGCUGCAUGGUGGGGGUUGGAAAGUUUCGGCGGUUGGGGAUGGACUCGCGGCUUAUCAGCUUGUUGGUGGGGUAGUGGCUUACCAAGGCUUUGACGGGUAGCCGGCCUGAGAGGGUGACCGGCCACAUUGGGACUGAGAUACGGCCCAGACUCCUACGGGAGGCAGCAGUGGGGAAUAUUGCACAAUGGGCGGAAGCCUGAUGCAGCAACGCCGCGUGCGGGAUGACGGCCUUCGGGUUGUAAACCGCUUUCGCCUGUGACGAAGCGUGAGUGAUGGUAAUGGGUAAAGAAGCACCGGCUAACUACGUGCCAGCAGCCGCGGUGAUACGUAGGGUGCGAGCGUUGUCCGGAUUUAUUGGGCGUAAAGGGCUCGUAGGUGGUUGAUCGCGUCGGAAGUGUAAUCUUGGGGCUUAACCCUGAGCGUGCUUUCGAUACGGGUUGACUUGAGGAAGGUAGGGGAGAAUGGAAUUCCUGGUGGAGCGGUGGAAUGCGCAGAUAUCAGGAGGAACACCAGUGGCGAAGGCGGUUCUCUGGGCCUUUCCUGACGCUGAGGAGCGAAAGCGUGGGGAGCGAACAGGCUUAGAUACCCUGGUAGUCCACGCUGUAAACGGUGGGUACUAGGUGUGGGGUCCAUUCCACGGGUUCCGUGCCGUAGCUAACGCUUUAAGUACCCCGCCUGGGGAGUACGGCCGCAAGGCUAAAACUCAAAGGAAUUGACGGGGCCCCGCACAAGCGGCGGAGCAUGCGGAUUAAUUCGAUGCAACGCGUAGAACCUUACCUGGGUUUGACAUGGAUCGGGAGCGCUCAGAGAUGGGUGUGCCUCUUUUGGGGUCGGUUCACAGGUGGUGCAUGGCUGUCGUCAGCUCGUGUCGUGAGAUGUUGGGUUAAGUCCCGCAACGAGCGCAACCCUUGUUCACUGUUGCCAGCACGUUAUGGUGGGGACUCAGUGGAGACCGCCGGGGUCAACUCGGAGGAAGGUGGGGAUGACGUCAAGUCAUCAUGCCCCUUAUGUCCAGGGCUUCACGCAUGCUACAAUGGCUGGUACAGAGAGUGGCGAGCCUGUGAGGGUGAGCGAAUCUCGGAAAGCCGGUCUCAGUUCGGAUUGGGGUCUGCAACUCGACCUCAUGAAGUCGGAGUCGCUAGUAAUCGCAGAUCAGCAACGCUGCGGUGAAUACGUUCCCGGG